rnacentral:rRNA from 1 species
UGGUGGAGUGAUUUGUCUGGUUAAUUCCGAUAACGAACGAGACCACGGCUUAUUAAAUAGCUGCCCCGAUUGCCUAAUCGGGUGAAGCCGUGCUGGAACUCGCGGUCCUUUAACCGGGAUUUGCGGGCUGGCGUGGUGGAUCCUUGGCACAUCGAGUCGCAUGCUUCUUAAAAGGACUAUUCACGUUUAGUGGAUGGAAGUGUGGCAAUAACA